UGCCGGCCUGGCGGGCUGGUGGACGUGUCGUUCAUGCCACGGCCUGCCAUGAAGUGAAAGUUUCAGAACAUUGUUCUAUUCGACGGCACGCAUCC
rnacentral:tRNA from 1 species